AACCAAUGAUCUGUCACACGGCACAUAACAAGUUACACACGCCCUUUCUACAUAAAGCAUCCUUUAGAAUGAAAAAGAAAUAAUCAUAAUGUAACAGAACUGAUCUGCAUUAAAUGUAGGUUAUUAGCGGUUACAGGUGAGCACAAAACCCGUGUCAUGAAGUAAAUACAGAUUUCCAUCUGUGCUACAGCUUUAUGAAGUGCUCAGUAAGAAGACAGCGCUGUUGAAAAUAGAGCUUCAAAAUUUACACCAGUAAUUUUAAGGCAGAGAAAUAGAAAACCAGCUGCAGAAACUGGCAGUGAUGUGCACAUGUCCUGCAUGGAACCUGCUUCCUGAAUUUGAGAUGAGCACAGGUAACGUUUUUACAUAUGAAGCUCACACAGCUUUCAUUUGUAAUACCCAACGUAACUGCCCGAUCUUCCUUCUGAUCCACUUUGACAUGCAAGACUUGUGAUUCCCUAUCUCAGGAGUUACUGAGUGAAAUCCAUUGACCUGUAUUUUAACAGUGGAUUUUGCUUUGCUGGAAAGUGAAUUCAGCAUUUCUCUGAAGUACAGGUGGGAAAUCCCAGGCGAUCCGACUGAGCCCUUGGACAGUCUGACAACAGGACGUUCCCAUCCUCCCUUCCAACCCGCUAGCAGGGAAUGGGCUGCUGAAAUGAAUGUGGGAGAUGUGGCACCAAGCCCAGAAAAGCAAGCUGAGGAAGCAAAAUGCACAGUCAGCAAGGCAGGAUCUUGUCUCUCCCUCCUCCCAUCCUCCAGAUUUCCAGUGACUGGGAUCAGCCCAUGAAGACGAUCUGAGGGCUCCUCCUUCAACCCACCCUAACCACGCUGCUCGUUCUCUAACUCGUCAACCAACUGCAACUGACAAACAUCAAUCUUAAGCACUGUGUAAAUUUAAGACUAAAUGUUUAUGAUUACUUACACGACUGAAAUUGGCCAUAAGACAGAGACAGAUGCUGGGCAGUUUGCAUUACUGAGAAAAGCCCUCACAAACAAAUACAGCAAAGAAGCCACCCAGUGCAGUGGAACACGGCACGCUCUUACUUUCCUGCCUCUGCUUUCUACAGAGAGCCUGAAGAGAAGAUCAAUACCUGCCCAGCUCCAACCAUAUUAUUAGCAAUACACGCAUUCCUUUCCACUGACACACAUAAAAACUACUGCUGGCCUAGUUCACAUGGAGUUCAUGCUCACAGCACAUCCAGUCUUUAUUUUUACCCCGAGAUUCACUCUCGCUGGCUCAGCUGGCCUCAGGGUAAAGAAGUGAAGUGCACCACACCAAGGGCUGCACUGCAUCCAUAUGCUGAGUACUGUGAAAGAAAACACAGACCCCUCUUUGCUCCAGAGCUUCACAGUUUCUGUCAGGCUGCACUUCACACACAACAGCCCUCUGGUCCUCCACUUCUGACUCCCUCCUAAUGGCUUUUCCUAUUAUGCAGACUAUGAGGUAAAUAACCCUCACCCCAAAAAGAUGAGAUGCACGCCUGGCUACUGCUGUUGUGAAAUGGUUGGUGGCAGAGGAGUGGACAGCAAUUAAAUACUUGUUUCAAAUUAUCAUUACAGAACCAAAAUAUUGUAUCGCUAGGUUUUAGGCAACCUUCUGGACCAGCCUCUGGGAAAUUUGAGGCAACCAGUCACCUUCAGCAGAAGCAGACCACGUGCUUCACAUGCUUAAUUUAUUGCUGGUGGGUUUGGAGGGGUUCUGGUCCGGGGUGUUUUUGUUUGGUUGGUUGUUUUUUUCCCCAGACAGUCUCCUUUAUCAGAGAAAGGUUUAUAAUCACCUGUCACCCUCAGCUGACAAUGCACUCACUCUUCAUUUUCACCCUGUAUUUACAUACUGGCCAUUAUCUCUCAGGUAAGGUAACAAAAGAGGCUCUCUCCAGUUUUCUCACCCCAGCAAUGGGAGAAUAUACCAGCACUCACUGAUCAGCAGGAAUAUUCCCUGGAUGCAGAAUAAAGGCAUUCUUGGAAAUAUAAGUCUUUCUGCUUAGGUCUUUUAGAGAAGAUUGCCACCAGAGAUUUGAGCUGUCUGACUGCCACGCCGAAGUACUGCAUUCACAGCCUCAGUUCCACAUUGUACCACCGUUACUUGACAUGUAGCUGUUCUAAUUGUUUAUGGGAAAGGAACUGGUGAGGAGGGGGAAGGCCCCGCACAGGGCAGCGCUGACCGACUGUUAUCAGCGAGAGAAGGCACAGUUGCCAUGGUACCAAAAUGGAGGUGUAAUGCGGUAAUCUAAAUGAAGGCUGCACUUACCAGAUGGGGACAUGUACUCAGCAUUGGCCCUGCAAACCACCCGAACCGGCAGAUUGCACAUUUGCAAGAAGGCCUGGAAACAAAGAAUGGAAAGAGCACUGAUACACCAGUGACUAACAACUGCAUUCUCCCCAAUACAUUUGACUGAAUCUUAGCAAAUCAUUAGCAGUACCUACCAAGAACAGGUCCUUGCAUAAUGCUUUUAAGAAAAAAGGAAAACCAAGGGUUUUCUAACUUCUUCAGACAAUUGUUUACCUCCAGCCAAUGGCUGGAAUUCCUCUAAUUAAGAUUCUCCGCCACACACACUCUUAAAUGAUGCAAAGAAGCGGUGCUGUAGCUGCAAGAAAUGAAGUGACAUUCUGCUCCUCCUGAAAAUCACAGUACGUACUUCUUGGGGCUGAAGCUGGCUAACCAGGCUUACAUUGUGUAACACAGCAAACACACAAAGCACCUUCCCACAAUGAAACAGUCAUCAGAAAUGCUGCUUUACAGUACACCAUGAGCACGUCUGCUUUAUUCAUUUCCUCUAAUUUAUGUGAACUGUAGUGACUGCAAGUGAUCCAUUUACUGUCUCCAUCUCCAACCCUGGAUUCGAACACUCUCACUGGGACACCCGUUGUUGUCAGCAGCUGCCAUUGCUACAAAAGCCCUAACAUGUUUCUGUUUAAUAUAAUAGCAAAAUAUUGAGAAAUGUAAUUUGGAUGUAUCAUGGAAAUAAGGAAUCUUAAUCUCCAGAGUCUCUCACAGCUCAGCUGAAGACCUAUCAUUCAUUUUAUCUUUGCCAUUAGAAAGUUCAGAACUCCAGAUUCCAACGUCACACCUUUUUAUCCACUGUGGCUGGAAGCUGAAGCCAAGGAGGCCACUAACCAUGAAGAAAAAUGCUGCUGUAAGUUGAAGGACAUGCUCCGCAUUCACUGUAGGCAAGCAGACCAAAGCCAAAAUGCUAAGAUCUUCAAGGAUGGCAAACAGUGCAGCAUAGUUCUAAAUCUUGUUUUGGAAACAGCUGUCCCAGCCUGAACAACAUGUACUCCAUUUGCACUUCAGUCUCAUUUGGGAGAGGUGGUAGAAAACCAAAGGAAACAAGGUACACAGCAUCCAGCAGAGCCCUGUCACUGGUUCCCAGAACCUGAUCUAACCAUAACUAUAUUUAGGAAAUCAGUGCCCAUGGCAGAAGGGCACCUCUGCACUACAUAACACUGCAGGGUGCUAACAAAUAUCAGCAUCAGCCCUGGUCCUAACGUUGUGACUCCUGCAGUACCCAUCAAGCAAACAAACCACUCCUCUCCUCCUCUGGUGCUUCCCAAACCCUACCCCAAUCACUGAUGAUAACAGUACCCAGGGGACAAAAGCCAAAAGCUUUGGUACCUUCCAAUGCCUCUUCCAACCAACUCAAGAACCCCACAGCUCAUUACAUCAUUUGGCUCUCACUAUUUCAGAUGACCUAAGUGAAUCCCAAACCCCAAAUUAAAGCAGGGAGCCAUGGUCACGAGCUGCUAAAGACACUGAUUACAGCUGACAGGAGCAUGGGCCUCUGAACCCGAGAGGCUCUGCAAAACCCACCAGUAACCCGAGUUUCUGCACAUUUUGAUUUCUUCAGCCUAACCCCAACUGAAAGAACUGCUCGGGAGCCAAUUACUACACACCCAUGAGCAGAUGCACCUCUGCCAAAUGCUGAGAACUUUGCCCUAGUCUAGAAUAAACUGGUCGUUAGAUUGCCAAACCUCAUCCCAACCAGCACCCCUAUAUCUGCUUAUAGCAGCAACCCUUACCCACAGGGAACACAAAGCACUGGCCACAUGUGACAGCAUCACACUUUCUAAGUGCACAACCACCACAAAUCAAGGCUUUUGUAGUCUCCGCUUCCCAAACUGCAUGCAAACAGUAAGAACACCCAAAGGAAUCGUUCUCAAACAGGAACAUAAGGCACCGUCUCAGUGCUGUAUCUCUUCCUAUUGGCUCUGCAGGCUCCAGCGAUGGUGCAGACUGUUCCAGCUGUUGCCAUAUGCAUCGUGUCCUCUGCCCAAACUGGGGCACUGAGUUCACUGAAAUUCUGCGUUAAGCUUGAGAUGAAUUUUAAGGCCGCCAUGUACUGUUCUCACUGCUGGUUCAGACGAGAAUGUCUGAACUGUGCUGGAACACAUGAAUAACUAAAGAGCUCCUGAACAGAAAGACAGUGUCAAGCAAAAGGAAGUGAAUCAGGACUAUUUUUACAUUUCCACAUCAGCACCUCAAAAAUGAGAUAUGCCAGCACAGAACAGCCAGGUGACACGAGUUGCUUUGGCAAAUGCUUGUCUACUGUACAUUGGCUUCUCCACAGUACAAGGUUUGUACCAAAAACACGGCUUGUGUCUGUGAAAAGCAUUCCUCAGUAUCGAGGUUAAGUUAUGAACAAAAUCUUUUUGGUGUAAAGAGUUCAGCCAAGAUUCCUGCAGAAAUCUGAACAGUACUUUCCUCCCUCCUCCUCCACAAUAAACAUCCACUGACCAAGGAACAUCGACCUCUCUAACAGUUGGCAGGGAAGUUCUGUCUUGGUCUCUGGCCUGGCUGGAAGUGAGGCGUUAUCUUGUUUAACAUUUUAGCCCAGCGAUCAAGGGAGGACUUGUUCCCUUUUUGACCACUCAUGUAGAAUGUUUUGUAGCAGCACAUUUGGUGUGCAGAUAGCAUCAAACCACGAGGUUUCCAGUCCUGGCAAUAGAUGCAGUGGAACGCAGCUCAGAACAGCACCUUCUCCCUCUGUACUUGGCACACAUGAUCAGAACAAGCCCCCGGCACAGCAGUGCUCUGAGUGCUCCGGGAGCAAAGGGUGAGAGGGAAGGCUGCAGCCACCCCAGGGUGGUUCUGCUGAGAUUUAUGAAGAUAUCAACACCCCUUCAAAGACACAGCAUCAAAAGCUGAACGACCCGAAAGAUCAAGGGCAAAGACUUAUUCCAGGACAUCAGAGAUCACUGUCAACAUCAUAAAUUUGGCUGAUCAACUUUAAAAGAGGCUGAAAGGGGCCAACUGAAUUCCAAGUAACACACAAGCUAGUUAAUCAAACCCUUCUAAAAGCUCACCUAAGAACUGGUGAGAGAGGCAGGAACAGCAGAACUAGAAACCUGACACCAGCGGAGCACCAGCCGAACUGUCAGCCCCCAAAGAUGCUUUUAAUUCUAAAGAAAAGCACUGAAUUCCCCUCUCUCUUAUUGUCCUCUGUGAAAAAUUACUACAGCAGUACGAACAGAGUGCACCCACAGCAUGAAUCUCUUUCAGCACUUAGGAUUCUCACACAGGAACCUUAGAGUAGUUGCUUAACACCUAUCCAAAAGAGUUAAUUACUAGGAUCGAUUAGAAGAGAUGAGGGAUUGAUAUCCCUAUUUUCCUUUGUCCAUGCUGCAGAAGAUCAGAGAUGGCUGCCCAACAGGCUUUAUACAAACAAAGGAAACUUAACUCAAGCAUAAAUACACUGAAGUAGCUACAGCUGAAGGAAAUCAAACCAAAGUACUCAUUUAUUUUAGAAGCCCAAGCAAUUUCAUGGCUCAUACUAGUUAACACCGCUUUUAUGAGUGUAAUAAAAUCUCAGGUUGGGAAGAACUGAGUUUAUUCCCCUGGUAUCAACAAGACCUCCUCUUUUAUCCGUGCAUAUCACUCGUUAUGUGCAUUUCUGUAAACUUAAAAGCAAGGGCCUGACUUUCUUGAUCAGUAUUGGCACUUGCCAACGACCAAAGCAGAAACCAGGAAGAUAACCCAGAUUAGUAACUUGUGGUCAUUAUAACAUCCUCUACAAAAGCCCUCUAGUUAUUUCUGGACCAAAAUGUGUCUGUCCUUUGGAUAAGGUUAAUGUGACAAACAGAUAAAAAUAUUGAAAAUAAAGGUUUGGUUUAGUGGAGUCUGCCAUCAUCUCUCCCACACAUGCUCCUCUUCCCUGCAGGCUAACCAAACCCUGUUCUCAUGCUUUUCCAGUCUCUAUCUCACCUUCUCUUCUGGCAUCUGGGAAAGAAUGGGAGAAAUACAAACAAUAUCUUUGUAGCAAUGCUACCUCUCUUCUUCCAGACAGAAAGUACAGAGUCUACAAAGCUUCUACUGCCUCUGUGUACCUUGGUACAUUUCCACGUGUCUUGAGCACCUCCAGGUACAGUGACUCCACCAUCUCCCUGGGCGGCCCAUUUCAGUGCUUGUCACUCUAUAAGUGAAGACAUUCUUCCUCAUACCCAACCUGAACCUCCCCCGGUACAACUUCAAGCCAUUGCCUUUUGUCCUACCACUACUUACACAGGAGAAGAAUCCAGCCCCUACCUUACCAUAAUGUUCUUUCAAGUAGUUGUAGAGAGCAAUACUUUCUUAUAGUGAGAGGCCCAAAACUGAACACACUACUCAAGAUGCAGCAUCACUAGAGGAUACAGUACAUUUUAUAUUGUACAGGGAGACAAUCACCUCCCUCCAAAAUAUUUGGUAAGAAGCUUUGAGGUGACACCUGUCAGUAAAUAAAUUAACAAUGCUAUGCAUGUCAUUCGUUACAAUCAUGGCAGGGACACCUCCUGACAAAAUUACCAAGUACAUUAACAACAACAGUGUAGCUUACAGGACACAAUGAACUGAAGGCUUGCUUUGUUUUCUUAUACUUAACCCAAUUGCAAAUUAAGGACGUAAAUAGUAUGUUGGAUUUCACUUACUGAAAAAAACAAUCAGUGCUACUUUGCCAAGGCCUGGAAGCACAGAGCUCAGAAACCUUGGCCCUCCCCUCCUGUGACAGAAAUGACAUUUCCAGCUCUGCUGCUGCUGCCCUCCAAACAAUGUACGAAAGUGAUGCCAUCUUGUCUUCCUAUGAUGACAAGAACAGAAAAUGACUGCACAUGAAGUACAAGUGGGAAAGAGUAAGAGAAGAGAGGGGGGAGUUCUGUAUUUUUUCCCUUGGUUAAUUGGUUUAUGUAGCAGUUUUGCCUUCACUCUCCCUUCCUCUUUGCCCUCCCUGAAGACUGGACUGUUUGGACACUGCCAAUUGGAAGCAUAACGCCCACCAAGCAGCAAAUCACCCCAUCAGAGCUCCAUCACAUUGUCUCUUCUUCCCCUCCAGUCCCCUCUCAGAAUAAUACACAAGAGCAAACACACACAUUCAUUAAAAAUGAGUUAUAACUUGAUGUAAAUUAUAUCCAGAUUGCAGUUUCCAAGAUCAGAGGAAAGAAUGAAAUUGCUUAUGCCAAGUCCCAAAUAGUUCACAACUUAUAUCCCCCCAUGAGGAGCACUGUUUUCAGAUGGCACACACUCCAGGCUUCAUUCGGAGAAGACAUACUCAUGAUUAGUUUUUUAAUAAAGAACGAUCCAUUGCAGGCAUCUCUUAUUCAGCAGCACUGCUAAAUGCGUCCGCAUAAUACGGCUGUGAAGGAAGAGCAAAAGGCAUUUGUUUUCAUUCUUACACUAUUACAUGAGCAGACAAAGGAGGACAAUAUGCGACGACAACUAAAGAGUUAUUCUCUGCUUUAUUGCAGGAACGCAUUUUAAAAUUAAAAACCAUGAACAAAUCCACAGUAUAAUUCAGUUUUCAUAUCAAACAGCUGCAGACCCUGUAACCGAAAUAGUAUGUCUAAGGUUAUAAAUGAAAACUGCUCAGUAUCAUUCUUUGAGUGACAGAUUAAAUUCCUAAUCCGGUUAUGGUAAUGGCCACAUUUGUAGUUUAACAUAAAUUAAGAGCUUAAUUAUAUUUGCGACUAUUUUAAACAAAAUAACAAAUUCCUUUGUACCUGUGAACAUAAUUUAUAGCAAAGCCACCUUCAUUCUCCAAAACAAUCUAUUUUACACUGCAGCACAGCACUGCUCUAAUGGUAUAAUGUAAUUCUUGUUGUAGAAUGUGGAAGGAGUAGACUCAGUGGUAGCACAGAGGUUUUGAAGAUAAAUGAAGAUGCUAUUCAUUCAGGGGUAAUUUCAUCUCAGAACUAUAUGAAAGAUGUUUCACUCCCAAACAGUACCUCUACGGCUUGGGAUUUAAGCAUGUUUUCAGCUACAACAUAAUGCUGCCAGAUUGAUUAUGUUGAUUCUGCAUUUCUCAUCGUGAAGAAUUUCCAGUUUUUGUUCUCUUAAAA